GCGAAUGUGGCGGAAUUGGUAGACGCACUGGAUUUAGGUUCCAGCGCCGCAAGGCGUGCGAGUUCGAGUCUCGCCUUUCGC
rnacentral:tRNA from 1 species